rnacentral:rRNA from 1 species
CCUACGGGUGGCUGCAGUGGGGAAUAUUGGACAAUGGGGGGAACCCUGAUCCAGCCAUGCCGCGUGUGUGAAGAAGGCCCUCGGGUUGUAAAGCACUUUCAGUGAGGAAGAACGCCUGGUGGUUAAUACCCAUCAGGAAAGACAUCACUCACAGAACAAGCACCGUCUAACUCCGUGCCAGCAGCCGCGGUAAUACGGAGGGUGCGAGCGUUAAUCGGAAUUACUGGGCGUAAAGCGCGCGUAGGUGGCUUGAUAAGCCGGUUGUGAAAGCCCCGGGCUCAACCUGGGAACGGCAUCCGGAACUGUCAAGCUAGAGUGCAGGAGAGGAAGGUAGAAUUCCCGGUGUAGCGGUGAAAUGCGUAGAGAUCGGGAGGAAUACCAGUGGCGAAGGCGGCCUUCUGGACUGACACUGACACUGAGGUGCGAAAGCGUGGGUAGCAAACAGGAUUAGAUACCCCGGUAGUC